rnacentral:lncRNA from 1 species
CUUAACAAACCUUUACAACUUGAGGACACAAGCCUCAACACCUUUGCUCGGAGAUACAACACUCCAAGACUUCAACCAAAGGAAACACAAGUUCCUUCAUAACUUGAGGACACAAGCCACAACUACCUUUGCUCGGAGAUACAGCACUCCAAGACUUCAACCAAGAAACACAAGUUCCUUCUUACAACAAGAGAAUAACAAUUCUCUUCAAGUGUACAAAAC